GGGCACACUGCAGGAGCUAAAGGAAUGUUCAGACUCUCAAAGACAGCUGGAUACCCCACACCGGGAAACUGAGCAGGAAGAAACUUGCCCUGGCAAUCUACACAAUUUCCAGUGGGAGUGGCACUAUUAGGAAGUAUGGCCUGGUUGGAGGAAGCGUGUGUCUGUGGGAUGGGCUUUGAGAGCCUCCUCCUAGCUGCCCAUGAGCCAGUCUUCUUCUAGCAGACUUCAGAUGAAGAUGUAGAACUCUCAGCUCCUCCUACACCAUGCCUGCCUGGAUACUGCCAUGCUCCUGCCUUGAUGAUAAUGGACUGAACCUCUGAACCUAUGAGGAGAUGAGACUCCCAGGAGGAUGAGGGCCACCCACAGGGCUAUGGAAGAGGCUCAAGACUGAUGAGGAAGGAAGAAAAUCAGCUGGAUCCUCAAGACACAAACAGACUAACAGACUCUUUCAUUGCAACCUUUAGGGCGGAGGAAAUUUGACAUAGGAUGCAGGGGCAUCAUACGAUCGACUAUGAGCAAUGUGCCCACCGCGUGAGCCUCUCAGGACACAGGAAGUAAACCAACAGUCUCACUUUCCAGUGUCUCACCUCGGCUUCUCUUCUGUUCUCUUUAAUUUGUCUUCAGAGCACUGAGCAGUGGUCGUCCUUGGUCCCAGACAAUACUGUCUCUAAGAGAAGACCAACACAGUUAGAGACAGGACGGCCCAAAGGAGAAUCAGAUCCGUCCAGUUUAGGCCAUGUAUCUAGUUAUGGACCCGUCAGCUUUGACAAAGGAGCUAGGGUCUUGUAGCGUGCUUGUUCUUAUAGAAGGUGCAGGUCAGAGGGCCUGGCUGCCCACGUCCUCCUUGGAGACUCAGAAAGAAAUAAGAAUUUCAAGAGAUAGUAGUGAAGUGGUUUACAGAAAAGAAUUUCCGAAUUUUCCUUUUCUUUUCCUCAGUCCUUAUUGCAUUAACCUUGUGAUUGUCAACAUACUUGUGUGUUGCUGAAUAUUUUAAGAAAAAUCAACAAAUGUUACCUUGAAACAAUAACAAAGCCCAGAAAAAUGCAAAACAGCCUUGGUCUGUCCCAGCGUCUUUCAUCUGAGAGCACAGAGAGCCAGCGCUAGCCUGGGGAGGGGGUGUGUGGCUAGAAUGUGUGUGUGCUCAGGGCUUUCAUUAAAAACACAUUUUAUUUACUUUA
rnacentral:lncRNA from 1 species